UACUUGCAGGAGCUGACAGUGGAUUAUUUGAUUUGGUAUCAGACUAUUGUAAAUACUUUCGUGGUCUGGUGCUGUGCUGCAGAAAGUGCUUCUGCUUCGCGGUGAUGCAGUGAUGAAAAAAGAAUCUAGUCGGAAUGGCCAUUGGCAGACAGUACUGCAAGCCAGCAUGGGAGCUUCAGGAAGGACCGGUGUUGCUGGGGCAUGCAGUGAGGCUCCAGGCACACACUGAUUGUCCACCAUCCAUGAAGAACUGACCAUCAAGUACCAUCAGCUACUGAUGAUGCAAGUCUCCUGCAUGUGCAAGCCCAAUAGAUCUUGUUUUCAUUCUACAGUAUUGUGCCUCCACCACUCUUAAUGAUACUCCUACAUUCCUUCUUUCUUUGAUUAAUGUGACCAUUUAGAUAGCACACCUAGCACACUGAUCCAUAUAAAAUGCACAACAUGUUCAAUGCUAAAUGACACAGAUAAAAGAGUUUCUGAUUAAUCUAGAAUGGUGAGUUUUAACCGUUAACUUGAAAUUCGUUUCCAUUUGCAUCUCUGACAUAUUUUACUGAGAAAUCACUAUCAUCAUGAGCACUGGUAAAAAAAUGUGCAAAAUAAAAAGCCAGCACAUGCACACUCCUUUACUGCUCUUUGAUUCCUUUCUCUCCAAGAAAGGAGAGAUUGUGUUCUCUCCAGUUCUGAAACAAAAUGAUUGAAUUUGUGUAGAAAACAGCCAACAGUAUUAUUUCAUUUUAGGAAUAAAGUCACUUCCUUAACCGUAGAUGGAAAUCUGUGUUUCCCUACAAGACAUGGGCACUUCCAAACUGGAACAGGGGAGGGCACUAAAGAGUUACACAUGGAUCUGAAAGCAGACGAAAUGAUUUGCCCAACAUGUAAAUUGGGUCUAAAAUUAUUUCAGACUUAUCAU